UCAGAUUGAACGCNGGCGGCAUGCCUUACACAUGCAAGUCGAACGGCAGCACGGGUGCUUGCACCUGGUGGCGAGUGGCGAACGGGUGAGUAAUACAUCGGAACAUGUCCUGUAGUGGGGGAUAGCCCGGCGAAAGCCGGAUUAAUACCGCAUACGAUCCACGGAUGAAAGCGGGGGACCUUCGGGCCUCGCGCUAUAGGGUUGGCCGAUGGCUGAUUAGCUAGUUGGUGGGGUAAAGGCCUACCAAGGCGACGAUCAGUAGCUGGUCUGAGAGGACGACCAGCCACACUGGGACUGAGACACGGCCCAGACUCCUACGGGAGGCAGCAGUGGGGAAUUUUGGACAAUGGGCGCAAGCCUGAUCCAGCAAUGCCGCGUGUGUGAAGAAGGCCUUCGGGUUGUAAAGCACUUUUGUCCGGAAAGAAAACCUUGGCUCUAAUACAGUCGGGGGAUGACGGUACCGGAAGAAUAAGCACCGGCUAACUACGUGCCAGCAGCCGCGGUAAUACGUAGGGUGCGAGCGUUAAUCGGAAUUACUGGGCGUAAAGCGUGCGCAGGCGGUUCGCUAAGACCGAUGUGAAAUCCCCGGGCUCAACCUGGGAACUGCAUUGGUGACUGGCGGGCUAGAGUAUGGCAGAGGGGGGUAGAAUUCCACGUGUAGCAGUGAAAUGCGUAGAGAUGUGGAGGAAUACCGAUGGCGAAGGCAGCCCCCUGGGCCAAUACUGACGCUCAUGCACGAAAGCGUGGGGAGCAAACAGGAUUAGAUACCCUGGUAGUCCACGCCCUAAACGAUGUCAACUAGUUGUUGGGGAUUCAUUUCCUUAGUAACGUAGCUAACGCGUGAAGUUGACCGCCUGGGGAGUACGGUCGCAAGAUUAAAACUCAAAGGAAUUGACGGGGACCCGCACAAGCGGUGGAUGAUGUGGAUUAAUUCGAUGCAACGCGAAAAACCUUACCUACCCUUGACAUGGUCGGAAUCCUGAAGAGAUUCGGGAGUGCUCGAAAGAGAACCGACGCACAGGUGCUGCAUGGCUGUCGUCAGCUCGUGUCGUGAGAUGUUGGGUUAAGUCCCGCAACGAGCGCAACCCUUGUCCUUAGUUGCUACGCAAGAGCACUCUAAGGAGACUGCCGGUGACAAACCGGAGGAAGGUGGGGAUGACGUCAAGUCCUCAUGGCCCUUAUGGGUAGGGCUUCACACGUCAUACAAUGGUCGGAACAGAGGGUUGCCAACCCGCGAGGGGGAGCUAAUCCCAGAAAACCGAUCGUAGUCCGGAUUGCACUCUGCAACUCGAGUGCAUGAAGCUGGAAUCGCUAGUAAUCGCGGAUCAGCAU
rnacentral:rRNA from 1 species